GCCUGGCUGGCUCAGCCAGAAGAGUGCGUGACUCUCGAUCUUGGGGUUGUGGGUUUAAGCCCCACCUUGGGUG
rnacentral:tRNA from 1 species